ACUCUCUCAGCUCUGCUCAGUUGCCCCUGGCCUCAGUGGGGCACCUGUCGUUUUUCGAGAGGGAAAGCAAACUGGUUUCCUGUGUGCACGGCAGUGAGGUUUGAAAAGUGGCCUACCUGUUCCUUUGGAGAGCCAACAAUU